UUUGGGUUAAAGGGUUCAUAAAAAAGUGGUCCAAUUAUGUCAAUGUUAGCACACAAAUAUGGUCAAUUCAACUUCAAUGCUCCUUCUAAGAAUUGUGGCGCCCAAAGUCCAAUUAUCCACUAAAAAAGUUAGUUUUUGCCAACAAUUAUAACAAUAAAAAGCCGAAAAAACGAAGAAUGGUUUUCAUAUAGGGAGGAUAGACAGAAGCCAUAUAUGUGCAUUGAUGUGUUGAUAUAUGGAGAUUGAAAAAAACCGGUUUCAAUAGGGACCAAAUAUAACAGCGAUUUCCUAUAGGGAGGAUAAAAAGCAGCUUCAAAAAGAAACCAAAUACGGCUAUGAUUGAUUAUAAGGACCACACAAUAUAUUUUUGAGGCUUAUAUAAGACGGGGAUAUUUUUAA